AUAAAGGCUGGUUAUACUCCUCCAUAAAGUGCUUUACGUAGACACGGCGAGCCCUCUCCGUUGUUUGAGACCCUGUCGGAGACCCUCUCUGUUACGGCUCAAGACAGGGUGAACCCAAACGCACGGCACAAAUGACGACAGGACGAGGGUAUUUGAGUCCUCAUCAGACCAGGAUACUGGAGAGGAGAGCUGUGCUGGAGCCAAGGUAAUCUCGCAAGAUGGAGGUCCUGCAGAUCUGAGAAUGGGAAAUUCAUUUUACAAGCUAAAAAACCAACAAAAUGGCAGGCCCUCCCUUGUGUGACAUCACGGAUGGCGGGGCCUAUCUAUUCUCCUUCCCCACUGUUAGUGGAAGUUAAUGAUGAGGCGCUGGCGUGCCGCGAUCGAUGAGGGGCCCGCCAUCAACACUGAGGUCGUCCAGCAUGGGGGCCGUGGCUCGCGUAGCCAACCCCCCCCCCCCUCCCCAGACAGAAAUACUCUGUCUUCAUGACCGUUUGCGUCUCUGCUAACACUAGCCUUGGUUUAUUUAUUGAUUGAUUUUUUCUAACCGUUGAACCUGAAAGGAAAGUUGAUGUGGUGAUGCUACUGUGAGCCAACAACUUAUUUAUAUAUUUUUUUACUUAUUGUACAUAUUUGAAACAGAAACACAAAUGUGAGCAUUUUUUGGAGUUUGUUCAUGCAACAUGGCUGGAUGUUUGGAUGUCUGGAUGUUUCCCUGAGAUCCAAUUACUUGAAUGAACAGGAUUGAGAAAGAUCUUCAUAAAUUCUAAUGCAAUAAGCCAGUUUAUUUUUUAAAUUUUAUGAAACAUUCAAGGGAAUUGAUUCAAAAGGACAAAGCUUUAAGCAUGAACCUUGUCUCUAAUUUUUGGUCUUCUUGAUAACAUUGUCAGAAUAAUCUCAUGGACGAAACUGAAUUCAACUGAAA